CCGAAUCGUCGGCACGAGCUGUUGCUGGCCCCCAAACGGGGGCAUGUGCACGCUCUGUCUGCAUCCACUCACACCUGUGCACCUUCUGUAGUUCUGCGGUCUGGGGGGGCCCACCUCCUGUCUGCGGUUCUGCGUCUUUACACACACACUGUGACACGGUCUUAUGGAAUGUACGCAGCGUUUAACGCGAUACAAUA
rnacentral:misc_RNA from 1 species